GGGCCCGUGGCCUAGCUGGAAGGGCGCCAUCCCGUAGAGCUGGAGGACCCGGGUUCGAGUCCCGGCGGGCCCGCCA
rnacentral:tRNA from 1 species